rnacentral:lncRNA from 1 species
GAGGAAACUAGGAAAAGCAGCAAACCAGAUGGAGAAGGAAGGCCAAAAAGAUAAGUAGAAAGCUGGGGCCCAGCAUGACCUUCUCCUGGAUUCCUCAUCUUCCUUCUGUGACCUGUGUCUCCAUCAGUUUCUCCUCCGGCAUCUUUUUCUUACAGGAUUCUUACCUCAGAUAUCCUGUUUCUACUUAAAGAGUUAUUACCGUUGUCAAGCUGGGCAUGGUGGCUCACGCCUGUAAUCCCAGCACUUUGGGAGGCCGAAGUGGGCAGAUCACGAGGUCAGGAGAUCGAGACCACGCUGAAACCCCGUCUGUACUAAAAAUACAAAAAAUUAGCCGGGCGUGGUGGCGGGUGCCUGUAGUUCCAUCUACUCGGGAGGCUGAGGCAGGAGAAUGUCUUGAACCCGGGAGGCGGAGCUUGCAGUGAUCCGAGAUCGCCCACUGCACUCCAGCCUGGGCGACAGAGCCAGACUCCAUCUCAAAAAAAAAAAAAGAGUUAUUACCAUUGACCAUGAACAACACAGGUUUGAAUUGCAUGGGUCCACUAAUAUGUGGAUUUUUUUCAAUCACAGAUAAAAAAUACAGUAUUCAGAGGUUGCGAAACCCACAUAUAUGAAGGGUGGGACAUCAGUAUGUGUGGAUUUGGGUAUGGGGGGCUCCUGGAACCAAUCCCCUACAUCUGUUGAGGGAGGAUUGUAUUUAAUGGAUACAGUUUCAGCUGGGGAAGACAAAAAGUGUUCUGGAUGAGCCUGGUCAUGGUGGCUUAUGCCUGUAAUCCCACCAUUUUGGGAGGCCGAGGUGGGAGGAUUACUCGAGCACAGGAGCUCAAGACCAGCUUGGGCAACAUGGCAAAACUCCAUCUCUACCAAAAAUACAAAAAUUAGCCAGGUAUAGUGGUGUGUGUCUGUGGUCCCAGCUACUUGGGAGGCUGAGGUGGGAGGAUUGUUUGAGCCCAGGAGGUAGAGGUUGCAGUGAGACAAGAUGGUGCCAUUGCACUCCAGCCUGGGUGAUAGAGCAAGACCCUGUCUAAAAAAAAAAAAAAAAAAAGAGUUCUGGAUGGAUUCACAACAAUGUGAAUGUACUUAAUGUGAGUGUACUGAACUGGACAUGUAAAAAUUGUUAAAAUGAUAAUUUUUAUUAUAUGUAUGUUGUCACAAUUAAAAAAAAAAACAACUUGUAGAUUAGGCACCAUUUUGGAGAAUGGGUUCGGGGGAGCCUCCAGUCGAACUUCCCCACUGCAGUGCAGCUGGAAACUCAGUAACUGGUUCUCUGACACCUCCCCGCCACUCCCACCCCAGUGCCACAUAUCCCCAUCUCCAUGCCCCACUCCAGUCCAGAGCCAUCUAUCGCCUGGGCUACUGCAAUAACUGGCUAGCUUCCCGCCACACCACUUCAAACCAUACGUGGCUGCCUAAAACCUUUCCCUGGCUUCCCAUUGCUUUUAGCCUGUGAGUUGAAGUCCUUGCCAGGCAAGAUCUGCCCCUGCCUUCCUGUCCACCCUCAUCUAGAGCCAACCUCGUCCUUGCUUUCUGCACCCCAACCACACCCCAACAGUUUUGCAGAUCUUCAGACCCACUAAAACAUGUUCUGCCUCAGGGCCUUUGCACAAUGCUCCCAUUGCCUGGGACUCUGUCCUUCUUCUUUACUGGGUCAGCUCCCUCCAUUUUGGUCUCAAGAGAGGUCCCCCCUGCAGAUUAGCUCUGGUGCAAGGAGCACUCUUCCAUAGCAUCUUCUCUUUUCCUCAUGGCAUCUCACCUAAUACAUACACUCACACACACAUUUAUGUGUGUGUGUGUAUAUGUGUGUGUAUAUAUAUAAAACAUAUAUUUUAUAUAUAAAAUAUAUGUUUUAUAUAUAUAAAAUAUAUUUUAUAUA